rnacentral:rRNA from 1 species
AUUGAACGCUGGCGGCAGGCUUAACACAUGCAAGUUGAGCGGGGGAAGGUAGCUUGCUACCGGACCUAGCGGCGGACGGGUGAGUAAUGCUUAGGAAUCUGCCUAUUAGUGGGGGACAACAUCUCGAAAGGGAUGCUAAUACCUCAUACGUCCUACGGGAGCAAGCAGGGGAUCUUCGGACCUUGCGAUAAUAGAUGAACCGAAGUCGGAUUAGCUAGUUGGUGGGGUAAAGGCCUACCAAGGCGACGAUCUGUAGCGGGUCUGAGAGGAUGGUCCGCCACACUGGGACUGAGACCCGGCCCAAACUCCUCGGGAGGCAGCAGUGGGGAAUAUUGGACAAUGGGGGGAACCCUGAUCCAGCCAUGCCGCGUGUGUGAAGAAGGCCUUAUGGUUGUAAAGCACUUUAAGCGAGGAGGAGGCUACUUUAGUUAAUACCUAGAGAUAGUGGACGUUACUCGCAGAAUAAGCACCGGCUAACUCUGUGCCAGCAGCCGCAGUAA